AAACUAGAAGAUGAAGAGCUGGUGUUGUAUAUCCUCACCGGGCUUGAUCUGGAAUACAACCCUGUUGUCUCUGCAGUUGCAGCCAGGGUUGAGCCUAUCACAGUUGGUGAACUCUACACCCAGCUGGUUAGUUUUGAGC
rfam:Sorghum bicolor cultivar BTx623 chromosome 2, whole genome shotgun sequence.